UACGAAGGGGGCUAGCGUUGCUCGGAAUUACUGGGCGUAAAGCGCACGUAGGUGGCUUUUUAAGUCGGGGGUGAAAUCCUGGAGCUCAACUCCAGAACUGCCUUUGAUACUGAGGAUCUUGAGUUCGGGAGAGGUGAGUGGAACUGCGAGUGUAGAGGUGAAAUUCGUAGAUAUUCGCAAGAACACCAGUGGCGAAGGCGGCUCACUGGCCCGAUACUGACGCUGAGGCACGAAAGCGUGGGGAGCAAACAGG
rnacentral:rRNA from 1 species